GGGCGAUUAGCUCAGUUGGGAGAGCACCUGCCUUACAAGCAGGGGGUCUCUGGUUCGAUCCCGAUAGCGCCCACCA
rnacentral:tRNA from 1 species